GUACACUCCUGCGGGAGGCAGCAGUGGGGAAUUUUGGACAAUGGGCGAAAGCCUGAUCCAGCAAUGCCGCGUGAGUGAAGAAGGCCUUCGGGUUGUAAAGCUCUUUUGUCAGGGAAGAAACGGUGAGAGCUAAUAUCUUUUGCUAAUGACGGUACCUGAAGAAUAAGCACCGGCUAACUACGUGCCAGCAGCCGCGGUAAUACGUAGGGUGCAAGCGUUAAUCGGAAUUACUGGGCGUAAAGCGUGCGCAGGCGGUUUUGUAAGUCUGAUGUGAAAUCCCCGGGCUCAACCUGGGAAUUGCAUUGGAGACUGCAAGGCUAGAAUCUGGCAGAGGGGGGUAGAAUUCCACGUGUAGCAGUGAAAUGCGUAGAUAUGUGGAGGAACACCGAUGGCGAAGGCAGCCCCCUGGGUCAAGAUUGACGCUCAUGCACGAAAGCGUGGGGAGCAAACAGGAUUAGAAACCCUAGUAGUCCC
rnacentral:rRNA from 1 species